rnacentral:rRNA from 1 species
CCUACGGGAGGCAGCAGUAGGGAAUAUUGCUCAAUGGGGGAAACCCUGAAGCAGCAACGCCGCGUGGAGGAUGAAGGCUCUCGGAUUUUUAAACCCCUUUUUUAGAGAAGAUAAUGACGGUACCUAACGAAUAAGCACCGGCUCACUCCGUGCCAGCAGCCGCGGUAAUACGGCGGGUGCCAGCGUUACUCGGAAUCACUGGGCGUAAAGGGCGCGUAGGCGGGAUAGCAAGUCAGAUGUGAAAUCCUAAGGCUUAACCAUAUAACUGCAUUUGAAACUGUUGUUCUAGAGUUUGGGAGAGGUAGGUGGAAUGCUUGGUGUAGGGGUGAAAUGCGUAGAGAUCAAGCAGAAUACUGAUUGCGAAGGCAGCCUGCUAGAUCACAACUGACGCUGAUGCACGAAAGCGUGGGGAGCGAACAGGAUUAGAUACCCGAGUAGUC